UACGUAGGUGGCGAGCGUUGUCCGGAAUUAUUGGGCGUAAAGAGCAUGUAGGCGGCUUAAUAAGUCGAGCGUGAAAAUGCGGGGCUCAACCCCGUAUGGCGCUGGAAACUGUUAGGCUUGAGUGCAGGAGAGGAAAGGGGAAUUCCCGGUGUAGCGGUGAAAUGCGUAGAUAUUGGGAGGAACACCAGUGGCGAAGGCGCCUUUCUGGACUGUGUCUGACGCUGAGAUGCGAAAGCCAGGGUAGCGAACGGG
rnacentral:rRNA from 1 species